AGUAGCUGUUUGUCAAUCAAGAGGAUCAAGAUGAAGGUUAUUCUUUCAGCAGUGUCCUGUAUUAUGGCAAUGAAGCUACUCUUCUUAUUUUUGAUCUGCUGUUCUUCUGUGUUGUGGAUUUGGCUUGCCAAAAUUUUAUUUUAGCAUCCUUCCUUACAUAUCUACAACAAGAGAUUUUUAGAUAUAUCCGUAAUACAGUAGGACAAAAGAAUUUGGCAUCCAAAACAUUGGUGGAUCAAAGAUUUUUGAUUUAACUUCCUGAAUAAAUAAAGACUCAGUAUAAUCAUGGCCAAAAAAAAGUCAUGAUAUCAGGUUAGUUUGCCAUAUUUUUUAAAACUUAUAAUGCAGACUAUUCUGGUUUUGUUUUUUAUUUGCAGAAAGAUUUAUUUUUAUAACUUGGGAAUAUAUAACCUGAUAUAAUAGAAAAUACUGUUUUCCCAUUGUGUGUAGUAUUUAAUGCAGUAAAUAAUAAAUUAAUACUGACAGUGAGGCCAAAAAAAAUCUAAAUGUUGCUUUCAGCAUAAUACUUUUUAAUGAUAAUUAAAACAGUCCCCAUC
rnacentral:sRNA from 1 species